rnacentral:rRNA from 1 species
GCAAGUCGAGCGAGAUCUUCGGAUCUAGCGGCUGACGGGUUAGUAACGCGUGGGAACGUACCUUUUGCUUUGCAAUAGCCUCGGGAAACUGGGAGUAAUACCGAAUGUGCCCUUUGGGGGAAAGAUUUAUCGGCAAAAGAUCGGCCCGCGUCUGAUUAGAUAGUUGGUGGGGUAAUGGCCUACCAAGUCUGCGAUCAGUAGCUGGUUUGAGAGGAUGAGC